rnacentral:rRNA from 1 species
CCUACGGGUGGCAGCAGUGAGGAAUAUUGGUCAAUGGACGAGAGUCUGAACCAGCCAAGUAGCGUGAAGGAUGACUGCCCUAUGGGUUGUAAACUUCUUUUAUAUGGGAAUAAAACGUUCCACGUGUGGGAUUUUGUAUGUACCAUAUGAAUAAGGAUCGGCUAACUCCGUGCCAGCAGCCGCGGUAAUACGGAGGAUCCGAGCGUUAUCCGGAUUUAUUGGGUUUAAAGGGAGCGUAGGUGGAAUGUUAAGUCAGUUGUGAAAGUUUGCGGCUCAACCGUAAAAUUGCAGUUGAAACUGACAGUCUUGAGUACAGUAGAGGUGGGCGGAAUUCGUGGUGUAGCGGUGAAAUGCUUAGAUAUCACGAAGAACUCCGAUUGCGAAGGCAGUUCACUGGACUGCAACUGACACUGAGGCUCGAAAGUGUGGGUAUCAAACAGGAUUAGAUACCCCGGUAGUC